rnacentral:lncRNA from 1 species
UCGCACUAAUCAAUGGAAAAUGAGGAAAAAUAAUUGAGGCAAAAGGCUUUUUUUUUUUUUUUUUAAAUCAAAGAGAAUGAUAUAAGCAAUUAAUAAGCUGGCUUGUAUAUUAAAAUGGCGAAAGAUAAAUUUUAAGAUCGAAUUAAAAGCAAUGCUGGGUUGUUUUGUAAAUAAUAAAACUAUUUGGAAGUAACAAAGAAAAGCAUGGUUUGUGCAGUUCGUUCAAAUUAGUCGAGUUGGAAAAAUAUUGUCUGACUGGAGUUCAAAUAUGGACUAAGGUUUAUGAUGUUUUCUACUUUCUGUUAUCAGUGCAACAGACUGAUAUUUAAUAAAUAAUGACGGUCAAUCCAAGUAUCCACUACUAAUCCUGCAUCACGUUUUCCUUGCGGAUACCACGUGAUCUGAACCCCAGGGGAGAAAGCGUGACUUUGGAUGUUAGGAAAACUGUUGCUACUGUCCCAGGCCCCAUCUUAUUGCCAAAGACAUUUGUGGUGUAUUUACGUCACGCCUUUGAAGAAUUUAGUGUUCGCCGUUAAGUGGUGCCACAUCGCCAACGACUUACUGCACUUCUCUCAAUAAUUAAUUGCCUAUAUAAUUUCCAAAAUCUGUUAAGGUUUUACUGAUGUUUCCCGUUGGAUUUUGGUAAUUUAAUUUUGUGCCGAUGGCCUAAACAACGCCUUAUUUGUCGGAUUAGUGGCCGCACAUUAAAUUAUCUGUUUAUAGUGUUCCAGAGAAGACUUAAUACCUUAGUAUACCGACAUUGUUUACCGAACGAUGCACUAAUAAACAAAUGAAAUAUUCAUCUUUUCUAAAUAGAUAAUUAGCAAAAUUUAUAAUCUGGUAAAUUAAAAAACGACUGCAAAGUCAAAAGAGAAAGCAAAACUAUUGCGAAAAAAUGUUAUUCGUUUAGAAUGCGUUUAUCGCUUUACCUGACUUGAAAGUCAAAACGAAACGCGACAAUUAUCAUAAGCUUUAAAACCGAUUACGAUAAUUGUGAAAAUUGUUAUUUUAAUAUUAACAGUAUUUAAACUAGAGUGUAUUGGGUUGUACGUCAAUUUCGAUUCGAUAGAACACGCCCUUUAGCGAGAACGUGUGAAAUUAGACAAUGCUAAUGACCAGAAUAAUGUUGAACGUCGGUAAUGAGAUAGACAACGAACAGAUGUCACCUGUAAGCAUUUGGGAUUCUAUCCUUGUCAUCUCAAGUGUCAUGACAAUCAAGCGAAUCAGACUCGUUUUGAAUAACAAAUUGCUACGAGUCACAAUAAAACAGCUUCGGCUGCUUCUAUUCCUCCUAAUCAAUGGGAAAAUAACUUGAAAAAAUAACUUUCACUCUACUUAACUAAGGAGCUAAUUGACUGCAAUAAUUAAAUGUUAUCUCUUCUUUUAUUUUCGUACGUUUUGU